GCCGAUAUUUAAUGAAAAUAAAACUGCAAUGAAACAGAUCAAAUGUUGGAUUUCAUCAGUUUACAGCAAACAAUAUUAAAAAGAAAUGUGCUGGAGAAGAAUCUGCACUAAAGUACAUCCUGGAUACUGGAUGGCUGUGAUUCUCAGGCCUUCAGGAGGCACCACAUCAAAAACAGACAUGACUCUGAAGUGGAAAUCACCGCAUGGACUUAUAAUCACGUGUUAAAGCGAUUUUCAUUAAACACUCGUCACAGGCUGAAACAGAAACAAGCGAAAAGGAAACCAUCGAUAAACAUGAUCCAAAAAAAGCUUUUCUAACUUUAACAGACUGAACAUGUUUUAUUUUCUAUCAAGUAUCUUCAGAAACCAUCUCUGUCCCCUCUCCAGUUCCCCUCACAUCUCCAUGUUCCACCACUUGAAGUCAAACGGUUUCCUGAGGACGUUGGAGCCGCAGUGCAGCUCUCCCAGCAUUUCAUGGUAGGAGGCGAAGUCAUCGAUGAAGGUGCAGCUGAGACCCAGACCCUCCAGCAGGGAGCUCACUUC